GAAUCGCUAGCUCAGCUGGUAGAGCAACAGACUCUUAAUCUGUGGGUCCAGGGUUCGAUCCCCUGGCGGUUCA
rnacentral:tRNA from 1 species